rnacentral:rRNA from 1 species
AGCGUAGGCGGACAUUUAAGUCAGGGGUGAAAUCCCAGAGCUCAACUCUGGAACUGCCUUUGAUACUGGGUAUCUUGAGUAUGGAAGAGGUAAGUGGAAUUCCGAGUGUAGAGGUGAAAUUCGUAGAUAUUCGGAGGAACACCAGUGGCGAAGGCGACACACUGGCUCAUUACUGACGCUGAGGCUCGAAAGCGUGGGGAGCAAACA